UACGGAGGUGGCAAGCGUUGUUCGGAAUUACUGGGCGUAAAGGGCGCGUAGGCGGCCUUCUAAGUCAGACGUGAAAUCCCCCGGCUUAACCUGGGAACUGCGUCUGAUACUGGAGGGCUUGAGUGCGGGAGAGGGAUGUGGAAUUCCAGGUGUAGCGGUGAAAUGCGUAGAUAUCUGGAGGAACACCGGUGGCGAAGGCGGCAUCCUGGACCGACACUGACGCUGAGGCGCGAAAGCGUGGGGAGCAAACAGG
rnacentral:rRNA from 1 species